rnacentral:lncRNA from 1 species
GUUGACACUUUCAAGCUUUCUUAAAUUUAGUAUUGCUUUUGUGGUUUGUUUCUUUGAGGUUUUAAAAUUUAUUAGUUACCCAUUUUUUUUCUUUCUUAAUGCUAUAAUAAUGUUAAGGAAAUGAGGGUUUUAGUCCUAAGGCAAGAUAUAAUGUGUGCAUGCAAUUUUGUUUACUUUAAAUUAUAAUGCAAUUUCUAAUACCGUUAC